rnacentral:lncRNA from 1 species
UGAACCAGUAGAACCAUCUGAAAUAGCUUCAGUCUCGGCAGCCUGGCGAUACUUAUGCAUAAUUUGGAGGAAAUAUAUUAGGAGAGCAAUAAAGCAUGCAAUCCCACAUAUAAGAAAGAGGCCUGAAAAGCUUCUCAGGUGAAGGCGAUCUGACUCAAGCUCAGCAUUCUCUAAACUGCAUGCACUUCUUGAUAACCACUUGUCAUGUAUUCGCUGGAGAUCUCCAGGUGAAGGCGAUCUGAAUCAAGCUCAGCAUUCUCUAAACUGCAUGCACUUCUUGAUAACCACUUGUCAUGUAUUCGCUGGAGAUCUCCAUUCUCAGAUAGCGUUAAAAUUGCAGUUGACAAAUCAACAGCCAAUGGAG